AUGUCAUGAUGAGGACACUUGCGCAAUAGAUCUUUGCAUCAUUCCCAGGCUUCAUAUAAUGACUCAUUCUCAACUUGGAUAAACGUAAUAAUAUCAUUCCUUAGCUU